rnacentral:rRNA from 1 species
CGGAGCGACGCCGCGUGCGGAUGAAGGCCUCGGUUGUAAACCGCUGUCAGAGGGACCAAGUUCAUGGGGGUUCUCCCCCAUGAUUGAGUGAUCCUCAGAGGAAGCACAGGCUAAGUCCGUGCCAGCAGCCGCGGUAACACGGACUGUGCGAACGUUAUUCGGAAUCACUGGGCUUAAAGCGUCCGUAGGCGGCCCCGCAGGUGGGGUGUGAAAUCCCUCGGCUUAACCGAGGAAUUGCGCUCCAAACCACAGGGCUUGAGAGAGAUAGAGGUAAGCGGAACUCACGGUGGAGCGGUGAAAUGCGUUGAUAUCGUGAGGAACACCGGUGGCGAAAGCGGCUUACUGGGUCUCUUCUGACGCUGAGGGACGAAAGCUAGGGGAGCGAACGGGAUUAGAUACCCCGGUAGUCCUAGCUGUAAACGAUGAGCACUAGAGUCGGGGGGACCUCCACAUCCUCCUGGUCGUAGCGAAAGUGUUAAGUGCUCCGCCUGGGGAGUAUGGUCGCAAGGCUG